GCAGUGGUGCUUCAGUGGUAGAAUUCUUGCCUCCCAUGCAGGAGACCUGGGUUUGAUUCCCGGCCAAUGUG
rnacentral:tRNA from 1 species